CCCGCUGAACUUAAGCAUAUCAACAAGCGGAGGAAAAGAAACCAACAGGGAUUGCCCCAGUAACGGCGAGUGAAGCGGCAACAGCUCAGAUUUGAAAUCUGGCCCCCAGGGCCCGAGUUGUAAUCUGUAGAGGAUGCUUCUGGCAAGGCGCCGUCCGAGUUCCCUGGAACGGGACGCCGGAGAGGGUGAGAGCCCCGUACAGGCGGACGCCGAGCCUCUGUGAAGCUCCUUCGACGAGUCGAGUAGUUUGGGAAUGCUGCUCAAAGCGGGAGGUAAAUUUCUUCUAAAGCUAAAUACCGGCCAGAGACCGAUAGCGCACAAGUAGAGUGAUCGAAAGAUGAAAAGCACUUUGAAAAGAGGGUUAAAAAGCACGUGAAAUUGUUGAAAGGGAAGCGCCUGUGACCAGACUCGCGCCCGGCGGAUCAUCCGGCGUUCUCGCCGGUGCACUCCGCCGGGCUCGGGCCAGCAUCGGUUCUGGCGGGGGGAUAAAGGCGGCGGGGAUGUGGCUCCCCCGGGAGUGUUAUAGCCCGCCGCUCAAUGCCCCCGCCGGGACCGAGGACCGCGCAUUGCAAGGAUGCUGGCGUAAUGGUCACCAGCGACCCGUCUUGAAACACGG
rnacentral:rRNA from 1 species